UACGUAGGGACCGAGCGUUGUCCGGAUUCAUUGGGCGUAAAGAGCUCGUAGGCGGCUGCUCAAGUCGAAUGUGAAAACUCGAGGCUCAACCUCGAGCCUGCAUUCGAUACUGGGCGGCUAGAGUCUGGUAGGGGGAUCUGGAAUUCCUGGUGUAGCGGUGGAAUGCGCAGAUAUCGAGAGGAACACCUGCGGCGAAGGCGGGUUGCUGGGCUGAUACUGACGCUGAGGCGCGAAAGCCAGGGGAGCGAACGGG
rnacentral:rRNA from 1 species